UUCUCUCAGAUCGCCUUCUUCUUCUGCUCGUCGCUGGUGACCUCAUUCAAUUGGUGGAUUGUCGCCACCUUCCUCGGCGCCGAUUCCGCCUUCCUGCUACGCUAUUCCUUUUGUCCUCCAUGUUCUCAAUUGUGUUCCUCUGAUUAGCCGCUCGCUGAGAACUGCACAACCGUUGUUUUACCCAUAUCUGAGGACUCUUGGCAACAUCAGCUCCUCUGGUGGAACUGAUUUGAGGCUGACCAAGCCUGUUACUUAGCCUCCAUUGGUAUGGGGAGUUUGCGGAGCUACUGCCUCUGUACAGGAACUGCAGAAAAUAAAGGAAGAGUUGUUGGAGUUGAAAAGGAAGAGACUAAGGAACUUCACGAACAAAGAUGAUGAUAACAUUGUGCCGGUUACACAGUAAAAGUCUCACAUACAAGACAAUUGGCAUAGGAGUUCAGAGGAGGACAAGCUGGUAUUUUGCAGAGCUAAAAUAACCAGAUUUGUGCCUGAAGAUGCAUGGUUCUAUGCAGCCGUCCUUCAAAGCAAAUGAAGAAAAAGCCAGAGUCAGCUACUAAUCUGCCCAGAUCAUGAAAUGCAGCAACCACUUUACAUGUAAAACGCAAUCCAAAAUUUAGAUUAGCGCCUUCAAUUUUAAAACUAUCAUGAAAGAUGGAAUAUGAUAGCCUAAGCAAACUGUGUAACA
rnacentral:lncRNA from 1 species